rnacentral:rRNA from 1 species
GAUGAACGCUAGCUACAGGCUUAACACAUGCAAGUCGAGGGGUAACGAGAGGAAAGCUUGCUUUCCUUGUCGACGACCGGCGCACGGGUGAGUAACGCGUAUCCAACCUGCCCCCAACUAAGGAAUAACCUUGCGAAAGUAAGACUAAUACCUUAUAAUUUCCUCAGAUGACAUCUGACGAGGAAUAAAGAUUUAUCGGUUGUGGAUGGGGAUGCGUCUGAUUAGCUUGUUGGCGGGGUAACGGCCCACCAAGGCAACGAUCAGUAGGGGUUUUGGGAGGAAGGUCCCCCACAUUGGAACUGAGAACCGGUCCAAACUCCUACGGGAGGCAGCAGUGAGGAAUAUUGGUCAAUGGGCGAAAGCCUGAACCAGCCAAGUAGCGUGCAGGAUGACGGCCCUAUGGGUUGUAAACUGCUUUUAUACAGGAAUAAAGUUAGCCACGUGUGGUUAUUUGUAGGUACUGUAUGAAUAAGGACCGGCUAAUUCCGUGCCAGCCGCCGCCGUAA